rnacentral:rRNA from 1 species
UACGGGGGGGGGGCAAGCGUUGUUCGGAAUUACUGGGCGUAAAGGGCUCGUAGGUGGCCAACUAAGUCAGACGUGAAAUCGCUCGGCUCAACUGGGCGGGGUCAGCGGAUACGGCGUGGCUGGAGCAAGCUAGGGGGGCAAUGGAAUUCCUGGUGUAGCGGUGGAAUGCGCAGAUAUCAGGAGGAACACCAAUAGCGAAGGCAGCUCGCUGGGACGGUACUGACGCUGAUGCGCGAAAAGCUAGGGGGAGCGAACGGG